AGUUAAAGGUCAACAACUGGCACUUUGAGUAGAGUUCCUGUUAGUGUGACUCAAUAUUUUUGUCUUUCAGUUUGCUUGAAUGGUGGAUUACAUUUAUCAAUUUACAUAUGUUGAAUCUCAGGGAUAAAGCCUACUUGAUCAUGAAUCCUACGUUGUUGGGCUGCAUACUGGCUGGAGGAGGUGACUUGGCAGAGAGAAAGAGCCCUGGGUCCGGCAUGGGAGACUGAUGAGCACGGUUCUCUCGUGAACUGAGUGACCGAAUGUGUGAGCGGUCACUGCUCCAGGCUCCAUUGCUUCAUCUAGGGAAAAAGGAGAGAGAGGACUAGAACAGACAAUCACCAGCUUAAAAAAAAUACCAAUUUGUGCGGACAGGAAGAAACUGAAUGAAUGUGAGUUGUAGACACGAGUGCAGUUAUGGCAAGAACCCCGCUUUCUCAGACCCAUGAAGGCCUUCCCUGGUCCGAGUUUGGAUGUUGACAGAUCCUGCAAGGACAUUAUCUGCAAAAGUCAGCCUGACAGUGAUACCUUCCUAUGAGAAGAAAGACAGCACCCAAAGGAGCUGCAACAGGAGCCCCGAGGAGUCAGACGUUAUCAGGUCGCAGGCAGACUUUGCUGCCAUUUACAAAACCCUCCAAAUGUGUCAGGCUAGGGGUCAGAGGUCACAGCUGAGCCAGAACUGUGCUAAGUCAUUUCAGAGUUGUCGUGAAAGGCAGAAGGUGUGCUGUGUGCUGUCUAACGCAUCGAAUGGCUGUGUGUACUUAAGAAUGGCUUUUGGUUUUAAUAUCGUUGAGUUUGAUUCCAUUAAAGCCAUGAAGGCAGAUUCUU